rnacentral:piRNA from 1 species
UGUGAAGUCGUAGUUCAUUCUGGAAAGUGA